rnacentral:lncRNA from 1 species
AUUUGGUCAAAAAUUGAAAGAAUUGGAAGUUCAAGGACUUAAUUGAACUUGGAAUUAUUUAAUUAAUGAAAUCAGGGACCCGAUUGUUAAAUGUCAGAAGUCCAGGGGCCAAAUUAAAAAUAGUCAUUUCAAGUGAAAUCGGUGUCGUUUUCAACGUACACUAUUCAUCAACUCCUCAUCCUGAAGACCGGAUCAACAAGAAACACAACUAGUAGAUCAUGGACCACGAUGCCCACGAUCCCUCACGUGCCACAUUUCUGGAGGCAUGAACACACGACCUUCUCUGGCUUUAUAAAUGCCAGAGAAAGGCUUCACAUGGUGGGGGGGGGGGAAUAAGAUAGGAGAAAAAGCAGAAAACCGGGGAAGAUCAGAGAAAGACAGACAGAGACAUACUAAAAAAACUCACAAAGAGAAAGACAACAAAAAAUAAAAGCAGGGAGAGGAUCCAGGAGGCAAAGUGAAACAGAGGAGAAGGGCCAUAGAAUCUCCUUCAAAACUCCAGCAACCGCGAGCAAACUCAAGACAACAGCGCAGCAACAUCGUGACAGCCAUCACCGAGAGCCACAACCUCAGCAGCAACUCUCUCCUCAGUCGUGAUUUCAGCGGCCAUCCACCUUUCAAAGCAGAUACCAGUAGAGAGAGAGAGAGAGAGAAGCAAACAAACAGAAACAGGGACAGAAACGAAGAGGGAGAGGGACCAAAGAAUACGAACAGAGAAAACAAAGCCGAAGAAAAGAACAACUAGAGGGAAAACAAACGAAAAGAGGAACAAAGGGAGCAUCGUCCGAUACACCAUCAUCUUCAAUUUCGUUCCCAGCUACACAUGUAAGCUUUUGUUUUCCCUCCCCUUAGAAAUAUAAUUACCUUGUCACUGUGCAAAGCAUGCGUGAAUAAUUCACGCAUGCGUGCACAGUGACCACCUGGGUCCCUGGUUAAUUUGUACCAGUGACCAGGCUGGGUCUGGGCCUCAGGCCCAACUGAUCUAAUCUGUUUUGAGCCAAGGGUAUGUUUGGCAAAACACAUCUCAUGCCAAUUUCUUUUUAUUUUAUUCCUUUUUGUUUUCUUAUCUAGUCAAACGAGCCCCUUUAUGAUAUUAGAAAAUCUCAAAAAAAUUCGUGGACCUUUUUGAAUUUAUUUUUAGAUCCCUUGUUUUUUUUAGGUAUUUCAUUGUAUAACUUAUCUGUGGAUUUUUGCUAUAAAAUGCAAAUCUAGUGUAUGAUACAUUUUUUCUCUUUUAAAAAAAUAAAAAAUAUGCAUGCAUUGAUUUUAAAAUCAUGUUACUGAUUUAUUCACUGACGCUAGAGUCAAGAAUACUAUACGUUUUUUUUAUUACAUAAUAUUUACCAACGUCAUAGUUGGAAGAAGUAUCCGUAGUUAAAUAUUCACUGACGCAAGAGUCAGGAAUAUUACAAGCAAACCAUUAUAGUAUAAACCAAUAAACUUUUAGCAAUUUAAAACAAAACUAGUAAUGCAGUCUGUCUCAGGCAGAACGUUUAAGAGGUGUUAAUAUCUUUUUUUUUAUGUAACCAGUCCCAUAUUAUAGAAUCUCUGUAGACUAGUUAGGGUUUCUAGUGACCAUAAUACUAAGUGGCGACUCCUUAAACCAGACCUUUCCCAUUUUAAGAACAAGAUGCCAGAAAUCUGUUCUUUUUAUUGAAUUUUUAAGGCCAUCGCGAUGUCGGGUGUGCCAAACACAAUCACGUAACUAACCCGUAUUACGGUAUUAAAUAUCUUGAUUUACAUUUAUCUUUUAAUUUUUCCAAUUAUAUUUUUAUUUAUCGUUAUGACAAUUUUUUUCAUUUAUUUACACAAUGAUUCAUGAUUUAUUUAAUUGGAUGCAUACAUAUGUUUUUCGAUUUAUAUUUAUGCUUUUUUUAUGUAAAAAAACACGUUAAAAAAUUCUACAGGUUUUUUUUAUUUAUUUAUUGAUUUUUUCAAUUUGAUCCUUAUUCUUAUGAUUUCUUAUUUCUUCCUUAACCCUUUUAUUAAAGUUUUAUUGUUUUCAAUAUCACCCUUCAAACCAAGUUGAUAGUGUAUUGUAUUUUCUUUAUUUUUUUUCUUUUGUUCUUUUCGAUUUAACUAUUCAAUUUUAACCCUUAUUUUUUUUAAUUACUAUUUUUUAUUUUGGAUUUUUUUGUGUAAUUGUUUUUCCAAUUUAAUCUUUCAACGUUUUAUUUUUUAGGGAUUAGGCUUCAUGAUUUUUUUAUGUAUAGUGUUUAUAGUAUAAUGAUCAGGAUCACAAGUUUAAAAAGUUAACAGAGGUUGAUAUCUUUUUUUUUUGUCUCAUUUUUUUCUGAUAUUGUUGUUAGACAUUGUUUCUUUUUUUAAAAUAACUUUAUAAUUUUUUUAAAUUUUUUCUAUUAAAUUAUCCCGAUAUUAUAAUAAAUGACAAAUUAGUAGUCAUGACUAUUGAUUUCGGUUGAGAACGGGAGAAAGUGAGAGAGAGAAAUGAGGGUUUUAGGGUUUUAUUGUAAAAAAGUUGCAAGAAAGAGAGAAAUUGAAAAAAAAAAAAAAAAACAACAAAAACUCAAAACCUCAAUAGAGAAAUGUCCCAAACCCCCAAUGCAAAAUCUCCUUCUUUGGCCAUCUUAAAUCUUAGUAGAGCCUGUCUCUGAUCAGCCCCUACCGUUCUACUCUUUCCUUUUCCUGCCACCAUGCAUGCCUCCACGCCAACAUCAAUUGCAGAGCGUUAAAGUGCUGUGCUUGCUAUAUAUAUAUGUAUAUAUAUAGUAAGCACUGUUAACGAAGCUAAUGUAGGGAGCUCUUUGAAGAGGAUGGAUGCUACUGGAAAAAAAAAACAUUACGGCUAGCUAUUACAGCCAAGGACCCUUCAAUAUUGAGCAAUGAUGUAGAUGCUCUUAAUGUGCAUAGAAACUUACAAUGCCGCGUUUCAUAUAAGGUUUUCAUUUUAAUAAAGUGUGAACUAAAGCAUAUGAUGGUCUGCCUUGAAGGGUAUAAUUAAUUUUUCCACAUUCAUGUAUUUGUUUUUGAACUGCAGAUUAUUUAUUUAAUACCACUACAAUCACGUUAUAACAAAGUAUUUAUUUUUGUUUUGCAUUAACCAAAAAAUACAAAAAUAUCUUAUAGAGAUCUGUAGGGUCACUUGGAUCCUUCGUCAAUGCCAUAUUAUAAUAUUUUAUUGGUUGAUUUUUAUUUAUGAAAUAUUGUAUUUAUAAUAAAUAUCUUAAAUAUCUCAUCACAAGCAGUGUUAACUUUUCAUUGAUCAAUAAAUAUAUAAAGACUCAUUUAUUCUUUAUGUCAUUUAUUUUAAUUUUAUUUUAAAUUUUUUAUUAUGUAAAAAUAAAAUAAAAAUGACACAUGAUAAAUUUUGAUUAAUAGAAAAUUUUUAUUUCUACAAAUACCCCAUCAAAACAAGUUUACUUAGACUUAAAAAUAAAUGAGCAUGUCUUGAAAUACAUAGGUAAAAGAGUUUUAUAUUAAUUUUAAAUAUAUUUCUUAACUAAAAUUUGAUUUUAUCCUAUUAAGUUUUCACAAUAAUAUAAUAUAAUUAUUAAAAUUAAAAAUUUAGAGACAAUCUUGAUUGAAAAAUCAAAUGAUGAAAUCAAAGUUCCACGUCCAAUUUAAAGCAAUUAUAUAUUUUAAAGACCAAAGUGAAAAUCCUAAAAUUUUCUCCUAUGAAUGAAUAAUAAUCAAUAACUUUGACAGCCCGUGAGACUUCGUUUAUGAACAGAUAAAAAAAUAAAAUAAAAAACCUUGGUUCCCUUUUCUAUCUCUUUAAUCGGGAACCGUGCCCUCCAUUAUUUUGUUCAUCUCCUUUACUCAUUCCUGUGCAUGCAUGCAUUCCUUUUUAGUUAUUUCCAGUACAGGUAGCCGACUCGUUCAAUUGAAACAGGAAAUUUUUUUUGUAUAAUCAGACAAGCCAAGGAGACCGGCUUUGUUUAGUUAAAAUCUUGCUCUUUAUAUUUCCUGUUCCAACAGUGAAUCACAAACCAAAGAAAAUAAACAAUUUUUUAUGAGAUGAAUUUAAAAACCUAAAAGGCUAGCUUUCUCCUUCGUUUUGCUUCUGUCAUUGUAUUCAUGAAUUUACAUUGAGAAUUACUUGUUUAUAGAUUCGGAUGCGGAUGCACCAGUAAAAUGUUUUUAUGAGAUGAAUACCGAAGAAGGUUUCGAUCAAUUGCUUUCCCUUGAAACAUCCAAUGAUGCUUCUAAUGGAUACCUUGUUAAUGACUGCCGUGCUUUUGGAGCUGAGAUUUUUGUUCUCAAACCAACUGGAAAAUGAGAAUUACUUUCUAUGGUUAAGAAACCUGCUAAUGGUUCUUUAGCAUGGAGGAUUGAAGAUUUUUCUGAAUUACAUAAUGGCUCAUGUUUCUCCAAAACUUAUGAAAAACAACCUCUCAAACAUCUCCUAAAUUGUUUAUCUUCCUCUCUCUCUAUUCUCUCCCCGCUUCUCCAAAAACUCAAAAUCCAAAAACUUUUAAAUUCUCUAUUUCACGUAGAUUAGAAAGAAAACCCCCUGAAAACUUUCUCGGUGCCCAAACGCCACACUAAUGGCGCAAACAAUCAGUCUACGUACGCAAAGGCAACACUAAUAAUACCAUAUUCAUGGAUGGAAUGAUCAUAUCUUACAUCAAUGGCAGAUCAAAAGGGCAUUUGAAUACUAGUUUAACUGACUGGCUUUUCUUGAUGACAGGCUUCAUCCUUUGCAGAUCAUGCAAGAAAACUCGUUCUAUAGUAUGGAUGAAAAAAGAUGGCCUCGAUUUCGUUCCCGU